GACGAACGCUGGCGGCGCGCUUAACACAUGCAAGUCGAGCGAGAACUCACCUUCGGGUGGGGGAAAGCGGCGAACGGGUGAGUAACACGUGGGUAAUCAACCCUUGGUACCGGGAUAGCCCGAGGAAACUCGGAUUAAUACCGGAUGGCCCAACAGCCUUUCGGGGCGGUUGGAAAAGGUAGCUUCGGCCUCCGACCGAGGACGAGCCCGCGGCGGAUUAGCUUGUUGGUGGGGUAACGGCCUACCAAGGCGACGAUCCGUAGCUGGCUGAGAGGACGAUCAGCCACACUGGGACUGAGACACGGCCCAGACUCCUACGGGAGGCAGCAGUGGGGAAUCUUGCACAAUGGGCGAAAGCCUGAUGCAGCGACGCCGCGUGAGGGAAGAAGGCUUUCGGUUGU
rnacentral:rRNA from 1 species